rnacentral:rRNA from 1 species
AUUGAACGCUGGCGGCAGGCCUAACACAUGCAAGUCGAACGAGUGGCGGACGGGUGAGUAAUGUCUGGGAAACUGCCCGAUGGAGGGGGAUAACUACUGGAAACGGUAGCUAAUACCGCAUACCAUCGGAUUUGCCGAGAUGGGAUUAGCUAGUAGGUGGGGUAACGGCUCACGUAGGCGGCGAUCCCGAGCUGGUCGGAGAGGAUGCCCAGCCACAUGGGAACUGAGACACGAGCCCGACUCUGACGGGGGGGAGCAGUGGGAAAUAUUGCACAAGGGGCGCAAGCCGGAUGUAGCCAUACGGAGUGUAUGAAGAAGGCCUUCGGGUUUGAAAGUGCUUUCAGCGAGAGGGCGUUACUCGCAGAAGAAGCCCCGGCUAACUCCGUGCCAGCAGCCGCGGUAAUAC